ACUCGUGACACCUACCAAUUCUUUAUUGUUAUUUUUGCAAGUCGACUGAAAGCCGGUUUUGACCCUCAACUAAACGAUCUAGUCACAAAUGGAUGACGAUAGGUGUUUGUCAAAGCAAG